rnacentral:tRNA from 1 species
GCCUGGGUGGCUCAGUCGGUUGAGCAUCUGACUUCAGCUCAGGUCACGGUCUCGCGGUCCGUGAGUUUGAGCCCCGCGUCGGGCU